CUUUCUCAAAGAAAUAAGACUCAAGAAACUCUUUUGCUCCCAUUUCCCACGGAUCCAUGCAAAUCAGAAAUUUGCACCUCACUUUACACUCUUUUCUCUUAAGGAAAGUGCUAGGAAGCUCCCUUGAGUCUUCCUCUCAAGUCCACUAGUUCACACACCAAAAGAAAGACAAAACCCCACCCAAAAGUCUUCCCCUUAUCUCAUUUCUUGGCUGCACCAGACAGAAAGUCCAGCAGCAAGAAGGAAGCUUCUUUCAACUCUUUCAAGCUCUCUACCUCUCAUACUUUUUGGUCCAACCACUAAGAAAGGAAAAUCCUUUCAUGUGUUACCAGUAUCCAAGUCUAAGCUCCUUCGACUUUAGGUUCUCACUUCCUCUGCUUUCAGGUAAGGGAUAAGUUAUAUGGGCAUUUGUUAGCAGGUUUUAUUUUGGAGCAGAGGGAGCCUUAGUCAAGUUUUGGAAGGAGCUAGUUUAGUUUUAUAUGUAUAGAUUCUAAAUUAGCAAUAUGACGUU